UACAGAGGGUGCGAGCGUUAAUCGGAAUUACUGGGCGUAAAGCGUGCGCAGGCGGUUUGCUAAGACAGGUGUGAAAUCCCCGGGCUUAACCUGGGAACUGCGCUUGUUACUGGCAGGCUUGAGUGUGGCAGAGGGGGGUGGAAUUCCACGUGUAGCAGUGAAAUGCGUAGAGAUGUGGAGGAACACCGAUGGCGAAGGCAGCCCCCUGGGCUAACACUGACGCUCAUGCACGAAAGCGUGGGGAGCAAACAGG
rnacentral:rRNA from 1 species